GACGAACGCUGGGGGCAUGCCUUACACAUGCAAGUCGAACGGCAGCACAGGAGCAAUCCUGGUGGCGAGUGGCGAACGGGUGAGUAAAGUAUCGGAACGUGCCCAGUCGUGGGGGAUAACGUAGCGAAAGUUACGCUAAUACCGCAUACGAUCUAUGGAUGAAAGCGGGGGAUCGCAAGACCUCGCGCGAUUGGAGCGGCCGAUAUCAGAGUAGGUAGUUGGUGGGGUAAAGGCUCACCAAGCCGACGAUCUGUAGCUGGUCUGAGAGGACGACCAGCCACACUGGGACUGAGACACGGCCCAGACUCCUACGGGAGGCAGCAGUGGGGAAUUUUGGACAAUGGGCGAAAGCCUGAUCCAGCCAUGCCGCGUGCAGGAUGAAGGCCUUCGGGUUGUAAACUGCUUUUGUACGGAACGAAAAGGUUUGGCCUAAUAAGCUGAGCUCAUGACGGUACCGUAAGAAUAAGCACCGGCUAACUACGUGCCAGCCGCCGCAGUAA
rnacentral:rRNA from 1 species